GCAAAGAAGCACAGCAGCGGCCUCAUGACCACGAGAUCCAAUGGUUACGCCAUAUACAAUAUUAUCCAAACGGCAACCAACCUGCUAGAGCAGUGAGUUGGCUGAGUAAGCAAUUAAAAGCAGGACUCUGCAACAACCCCUGGAGAAGCAGCGUCCCAGGCGCGGCCGGAGAAGUGGGCGUGCACGGCUCAGGAGAGGCCCACGAGGUACCACACAUACACCGUAUCUGAAGCCUGCCUGGGCCUGCUAGCACCUGACUCCUCACUCUUCGUGUUUCACAGCAUGUUUACCGGACAGUUCUGUUCCCCAGGAAGCCUCUUGCGCUUAUAACUCUAUCCCAGUCUUUCUUCCUGGAAGACCUGAGCUGACACAUUGGAUAAUCACAUUUUUUUCUUACCAAUCAAUACAAUAAAAUUAACUUCCAUUUCCUUCCGCACCA